rnacentral:rRNA from 1 species
GACGAACCGUCCGAACGUUAUUCGGAAUCACUGGGCUUAAAGGGUGCGUAGGCGGCGCGGAAAGUUGGGUGUGAAAUCCCUCGGCUCAACCGAGGAACUGCGCCCAAUACUACCGUGCUCGAGGGAGAUAGAGGUGAGCGGAACUUAGGGUGGAGCGGUGAAAUGCGUUGAUAUCCUAAGGAACACCGGUGGCGAAAGCGGCUCACGGGAUCUCUUCUGACGCUGAGGCACGAAAGCUAGGGUAGCGAACGGG